GGCGAAGUGUGGCUGCUCCGGUCCUGGAGGGGAUGGACCGUUGCAUGCCAAACGUCUGGCGUAGGAAGGAAAAGUUUUGACAGCUUCUUUCUUGGUGUGACAGCCUUCCACAUUUCGUUGGAGUCUUGGUGGUGAAGCUUUUUCCACACACUACACCACUGUAAACUGCUUUGAUCUAUAUCUCCAUCCUGUUACCUGUGUGAAGUCUCUGGUCGUGCAGCUUAAAUAACGCACUCUGACCGGAGCGCUUUCUCCGACUUCACCUCACCGAGCCCGGGCAUCAUGAGAACCUGGAGGCGGCGGAAGAACUUUGCCUUUCUGUUCUUUGCUCUCCGCGUCUGGUGCCUGUCCACAGCGACAGAAAAUGCUGACAACACGCUUUACAAUACACAGGAAGGAAGUAGUCCAGACAAGGCUAAACAGCGAGGGGAAGCAACCGAUCCAGAACGCUAUGAGACCACAGUACCGCUGCUGCUGAAGGGCAAGGAGCGAAGACCUUUCUCCCAGCUCACGGCCGGGAGUUAUCCUCCGUCACUCCAGCUGCUGGUACGUGCAGAAGGUGAACAGUUGAUCCUGUUGCUGGAAAAAAAUGAGGGUCUUUUUGCAAGCCAUUACACUGAGACACAUUACCGGGAGGAUGGAAGUGCAGUCACCGGUGCUCACAACUUCACGAAUAACUGCUACUACCAUGGGAAAGUGCAAACGCAUCCAAACUCUGAUGUCACCCUCAGCACCUGCUCAAGCCUUCGAGGCUUCAUUGCGCUUGAAAACAAGACAUUUAUCAUUGAGCCGGUGUCUGGGCAUGACAACGGUGCCCACUUCAUCUACCGAGUGGAAGAACUCGCACUGACCCCAGGAGCCUGCGGCCACGGCUUCAACAUGUCCUCUGUUGCCCCUGAAAACCACAGCAAAAGCCCCUUUCAAUCCUUCCACACGAGGCAUAAAAGGCAGGUUCAGAAGACAACCAAGUACGUUGAGCUGAUCAUUGUUGCAGACAACAGAGAGUUUCAGAAACAGGGGAGGGAUGUGGAGAAGGUGAAACAGAGACUGGCAGAGAUAGCCAAUUACGUGGACAAGUUCUACAGGGCCCUGAACAUCCGGGUGGCCCUGGUGGGUCUGGAGGUGUGGAGUGACACUGAUAAAUGCCCAAUCACCCAGGAUCCCUUCACCACCCUGCACGAGUUCCUAGAUUGGAGGAAAGUCAAACUGUUGCCCCAGAAACCUCACGACAAUGCUCAGCUCAUAAGCGGGGUUUACUUCCAGGGCACCACCAUUGGCAUGGCGCCCAUUAUGAGCAUGUGCACAGCUGAGCAAUCUGGAGGAAUUGUCAUGGAUCACUCUGAGAACCCACUGGGUGCAGCCGUGACUUUGGCACACGAGCUUGGACACAAUUUUGGGAUGAACCACGACACCCCGGAGCGCGGCUGUGGCUGCAGGAUGACAGUUGACCGUGGAGGCUGCAUCAUGACCCCCUCCACAGGGUAUCCAUUCCCAACAGUGUUCAGUACAUGCAGUAAGAAGGACCUUGCUGCCAGUCUGGAGAAAGGCGUGGGCAUGUGUUUGGACAACAUGCCUGAGGUAAAGGUGCUCUACGGUGGCCAGAAGUGCGGCAACGGCUACGUGGAGGAGGGAGAAGAGUGUGACUGCGGGGAGCCAGAGGAAUGUAUGAACCCAUGCUGUAACGCCACCACAUGCACCCUUAAGGGAGACGCUGUGUGCGCCCACGGACAGUGCUGUGAAGACUGCAGGCUGAAACCAGCUGGCACCAUGUGUCGAGAUUCUAGUAACUCAUGUGACCUGCCAGAGUUUUGUACUGGUGCAAACCCUCACUGCCCAGCCAACGUUUAUCUGCAUGAUGGACAUGCCUGCCACAGCGUUGAAGGCUACUGCUACAAUGGCAUCUGCCAAACUCAUGAGCAACAAUGCAUCACCCUGUGGGGACCAGGGGCCAAGCCUGCCCCUGGGAUAUGCUUUGAGCGAGUCAACUCCGCAGGUGAUCCUUAUGGGAACUGUGGGAAGGACUCCAAAGGCUCCUUUGCCAAAUGUGAUGCAAGGGACGCAAAAUGUGGCAAAAUUCAGUGCCAGGGAGGAGCCAACCGGCCAGUGAUCGGAACAAACGCUGUUUCCAUUGAAACCAACAUCCCGCUUCAAGAAGGAGGGCGAAUCCUGUGUCGAGGAACUCAUGUUUAUCUGGGCGAUGACAUGCCUGAUCCUGGGCUGGUUCUGGCUGGUACAAAGUGUGGAGACGGCAUGGUGUGCCUGAAUCGCGAGUGCCAGAAUGUCAGUGUCUUUGGUGUGCAUGAGUGCUCUGGGAAGUGCAAUGGACGUGGGGUGUGCAACAACAAGAUGAACUGCCACUGUGAAGCACACUGGGCCCCUCCGUUCUGUGGGAAAGCAGGCUUCGGUGGGAGCAUCGACAGUGGGCCAAUGAGACUAGCAGAUGUGCGUGUGUGUGUAUUAAUGUGCGUGUUGUCAUAUAUGGCAUCAGCCGACAGUGUGGUCAUUACUGUGGCAAUCCUGGUUACCCUGGUCAGCCUUCUGGUAACCACCGUCAUCAUCUUUCUGAAGAGAAAGACUCUGCUGCGCCUCAUCUUCACCAAUAAGAAAAGCACCUUGGAGAAACUCAGAUCUGUGGAGGCCAACAGGCCAACCAGCCCCAUCAGGACUCCGUCAAUGUACAGGCCCACCCCACAGCGCAAGCCUCCACCCAAACCCUCUGCAGCCAACAUUUAUAAGCCAUCUCACCUGAGUGCGGAGCCUCUUCUGCCCCCACACAACUUCCACUCUCACAGUCUGCGCAGGCUGCCCCUUUACCAGCCCUUACACAUCAGCCAGCCCAUGCCGGUGUCUCUGAGCGUGGGCCAGCCCACUCUGCCUCCUCUCCCAGCCCACGCCAGGGUCCUGCCUGCCAAGUCCCUCUCACCACCUCGAGUGCCACCUUUUCUCAGUCUGCCUCGCCAACAGUCAUCAUACAGAGUAGACCAGGACUUUGAGAAGCCCAGUCCACCUCAGAAACCCCUACCUGCAGAUCCACUAGGGAGGAGCUCUCAGCUGGGUCACAGUUUUACAGCCGGGGGGGUCCACAUCCCCGGAACUGGACCCCUCCCCAUACCUAUCCCCACUGUGCCCAGGCCUCCGCCCACCAUCCCUUUACCCAGCAGACCUGUACCGAUGUUGCCCUACAGACCACCAAAGACUCAUAAGGACUGCUGAGCUCUUGACGUCAACAGACGGAGACUUUCUUGAUUUGCACUUAUUACUGAGACUCUGUAUAAGACCUUUUGGACAGUCGGAAGUAACGCAGAGUUUCCAAAGAAAGGGGGCUAACAUCACACCUCGGUGCUACGCUUCUAGAAGGUGCUUUAUUGCCCUCGCUCAGGUACCAAUCAACUAUUUAUGUAUUUAACCAGUUUGUGCACAGAGCACUCUGAUUAAGAGUGAUUUUUUUCCCCACGGAAAAGUUUAGAAAAGAAGAAACAUUUCUUUAUCAUUAUUUGGUGAUUUUUAUACUUUUUUUCUCAAAUGAAAUGCUGAAAUAUAUGAUGUUUUUAUAACCAGUUAAGUUGCUUAAAUAAUUGAAGCGCAAAGAUGUUUUGUUUUUGGACGAAAAUGAAGAUAAAG
rnacentral:lncRNA from 1 species